CGACUUGGUUUGGCUGCACGCUUUUGUAAGGACAUCUCUUUGCCACAACAACAAAGACACAUAUAUUAGCAGCGGUUACACCGGCUAGAAACCAGUAGAACCGGUCCAACCGGCUACUGUUCAGGUCCUUCCCGAACCAACUCUUGGCCGAGAAAUCAUCAGCUAGAGUAUCAACCGCUGUGAUCAGUAGAUUAUUAAGGAAGUUAGCUGCUCCCAACACGCUUAGGUAAAUCGCUAUACCUAAGCUUCUCAUGGAAUCAGGGACUUGGUCGUAGAAGUACUCUUGAAGUCCAACGAGUGUGAACGCGUCCGCAACGCCAAUGACUAUGAACUGAGGAGCUAGCCAUAUCACACUCAUUGGUUCGUUGUUUUCACUACGGUCCAGUCGUUUUUUCUCAACUAGAGCUGCAAUGAUCAUUGUGGUAAGGGAGAAAAGCAUACCGGUCCCGAUUCUCUGGAGAAUAUUGAUGCCUCUUUGAUUCCGUGUGACGCGUCUCAGCAAGGGAACGAAGAUUUUAUCAUAGAUGGUGAGUGAAAUGAUCAAGGAGAGAGCAGUGAGGGAGAACAUGGAAGCGGGAGGGACUGUGAAGCUGUUGUUACCCGUGAUGUGUCUGUCCAUGAUGGUUGCUUGUUUGAUGAAGAAAGUAUUAGUUUGUGUAGCACAAAUGCCAAAGACUAAUGUAGAGAGCCAUAUGGGUAUCACGUUGAUGAUCAGCUUCGCUUCCUCUACUUUUGUUAACGUUACAAGUCUCCAUGGACUCUGUUUCUGAAGAUCUAGAGGAGUGUUAUCUUCGAUUAUUGCUGCCUUGUCAAGAAAUCUGCAAGAAACAAAUAACCGCAUUGUUAUAACGGAUCUGAGAAAGACAUACAGAUGAUAAAAAACAUGAUAAAUAAAAAUACAAAAAUUUAACAUGGUUCACUAAAUUGGCUACGUCUUUCGAACCGAUUUAAAGCAUAUCAACACACCCCAGAAUCAGUUUAGAAUGCACAAAAAAUCAGAAAUUAACAAACAUAGACAUUUUUGAGUUCGUUUCUACUCACUUAAGAUGCUUUGUGUGGGAGAGAAGCCGUCCAGUAGUAAACUCUGCCUUGGAAACUUCAUGAAGCAGAGAAGGAUCUGAAGGAUAAGGUAGGUUUCUUUUGGCAAUGGCCGCGACUAUCACCUGUAACAUAGGGGUCAAAGGGCUACCAGAAGGUGUCCGGUAACGAUAAAAUGGUUUUCCAAUGAGGAAGAUGAGAAGUGAAAUAGCCAUGAUUGUAGUGAAUAUGAUGCCGGCAACACCCCAACCAACCCGGUCUUCGAUAUAGACAAGGACAGUCACAGACGUUAGGAUACCAGCACAUAGACAAACGUUCCACCAGUUAAAAUAAGACAUCCUCAUCUUUCUUUCUUCAACAUGAUCAUCAUCGAACUGGUCAGCACCAAAGCUCUCAAGGCAUGGCUUAUGACCUCCAGUCCCUAUGGAGAUCAAGUAUAUGGCAAUGAAGAAGGCUAUUUCGUGUGCUUUCCUAGGCUCAACGCACACUUCUUUAUGACAAGGUUUCAAGCCCGGUAUGAACCAGGACAUUGUUAAAAGGACCAAACCCUGUUGAUGAGACAAGAGGAAAUAAUUAAAUAUUGUUUUUGGAAUCUUUUGAGCUAAAAUUGGAUCAAAGUAACGUUAUAUUACCAUAAGGUAAAUAGUGGUUGCAACCAAGACAGUGGUGUAACGGCCAAGAUAAGCAUCUGCUACAAAGCCUCCAAAAAGAGGCAUCAAAGUAGUGACACCUGACCAGUAGUUCACAUUUUUUACAGCCGUCUUGAGAUCUUGGUGGAUAAUUGUUGUUAAGUAGACCACUAAGUUUGUAGCUAAACCAAAGUAACUCAAUCUCUCGCUGAACUCGAUUGCUGCGCAGUGAAUAUGGACCAAAAGACUUUAACAAAGAUUUACAAUUUUGAGCUAUUACUAUAGCAUACUUUCAGUAUUACAAUUAUGUGGUGUAUAUAUAAAGUUUAUGUAUAAAAAACUAAGUGAAAGUUUUGUUACCGAUGAUGAAGAGGGCAGCUUUCCAAGCACCAGUUCGAGCCCGAAGAGGAACAUGUCCUCUGCUGUCGAGAGAAGAAUCAAGAACCCAAUUGUGUUGAUCAUUGUACGAAUCUUGAAGUUCUGACCCAAUAUUAUUAUGCUUCAUCUGUUCAAAGUUAACAACACAAUAAAGAGUUGAUUCUUGAGGAGUGUGUGUGUGUGUGUGUGAGUGUGUGUGAGAGAGAGAGAGAACUGUGAAGUGAUUUGUUUAAGUAGAAGCAAACUUGGUCCUCUAUAUAUAAGCUUAAGCUCCCUGUUUGACUAACUAUCAUCGACAGUGUUUUAUAGAUUCUCUGCCCACAUUGUCUUAUUUUCAGCCACAAAUAGUUUUCCAUUUUCUAUUUUGUUUUGCAUGAACGUGGAGGAAGAUACGUAAAGGCGAGGUCGUAUUCAUACAGAUGAACUUGCAAUAACUCACAAGUGUACGAGAGAAUAAUAAGAGAAAUGUAAAACAUAAGAAAGCUCUCAAAUGGAUUGCUUGUUCAACAACUUCGUCUAUUAAAACUUAUCUUAACUUCGUAUUUUCAUCAAAUCUAAACAUAAAGUGAAACUCCCAAGCUUAAAAUAUAAUCAUAAACUUGUUCUUGGACAAAUUAAAACUAAUUCUCCUUUUUAAUAUUUCUUAUUUUAGAACUCCGAAGAUAUUCUUACUCUUUUCACAAUCAUAUCUCCAAAAGCCAAUAUAUACUACCAUCUUCUUUAAACACUAGACUCUAAACCCACUAUGAUCGUAGAUGCUUUUUUGAUCAAAGAUCAUAGAUGCUUUACUUCGAUAAAAACAAGCAAAGACGAAUACUUAGUCCAAUAAGUUGAAUGCUUCCUUUAUUCACUUGUAUGGAAUUAAUAGAUCUCAUUCUCUUAGGAAGCUUUUCAUUUACCGUAACAUCAAUAAAAAUGGUGAAUUUAUGGGAAUCACCCUCCUUUUGCUAGAAGAAAAGGUACCGUCAUCUUCACUCUAACAUGAAUGAUUUCUUCCUUCCAUAUUUCAUAAAAACUAAAACUAUUGGUCUACGUAUUUAACUCUUCUUACCGACAAUCUUUACGGACGGCAGCGAUCGUAGAUGAUAGGUUUGAAGUUGGAAGAUGGACAGAGGUUCGAUCAUCUCCAGGCUCUUGCAAACAAAAACUUAGAAUCCCCGGUAUAGUUUUAUAUAUCACAGUCAAAUUUCUCCAACGCCGUACAUUCAUAUUAGCUACUGAUUCUUAAUUCCAUUUGUUAACUUUCAGAUGUUGUUGGCCAAAAACGUUUUCUGCUAGGCACUGACCUCAAAAACGCCUCAACAACGACUCGGCUUAUGGUAUGUUUUAAUCUCAUUGACCCAAGCCCGCUUUCACAUAGUUCUCAUGUUUUUAUCCAUUUGCUCAUGCUUUAAGAAAACUUAUAUAAUCUCAUACACCAGUACGGUGGUCGUGUACUUGCUUUGUGUGACUGACGAUGAUGCGGCCCCUUUAGGGGUCUUAUGAACUCAGAUGAUAUAACCCAGUUUGUCAUGGUGGUCACCACGGUCAGUCCAAAAAAUAUUUAGGGAUAGUCAUCUAUUUUUUCUCAAGAAACAUGUUGAUGCUAAACAAUUUCUGCUGAAUAUAGUACUUUCAUGCAUAUAUUUAACAGAAUAACAUCAUCUAAUAUAACACACACGUACAACUGUGUUUCAGACUGCCAGCAGCAACAAAACUCCAGACGUGGAUUCCCAAUCUAUACUACCAGCAGCAACUGUUAGCUACACGGUUCAUGUGCCCAGGAGAGCCGAAGAAGUUGAUGAAGCAAUGUCAAGCUUUGAAAACGAAGAAAAUAGGCACGUGAGUGAUUGUUUCAAGUCCAUCAAACCGUCAUCCCCACUUAGCUUAUGUGUCAAUGAAAUAACCAUUUUCGUAUGUUUUUUCCUACUUUCAACUUUGGUUGUCUUUAAUUAUCUGCAAACUAUUUCCCACCAGGAGAAGAGUUACUUGGUUUUUAAAUAAAGGGGAACGUUGGUGGGUCUUUGCAUUUCGUGAAAAUAAGCAUGUCUUUUGCUUCAUGCAUGAGAACAUGUUCAGAUAGUUACAUGGCAUCGACGUUAAACAAUGCAACAAAGAAACCAACUAAAAUCCAAUAGCCACCAAAACAAAACAAAAACUCCAGAAAAGUGACACAAGCACACCAUCAUAUGUUCCUCGGUGGGAAUUGGGAUGCAGACAACUGAAUACAAAAAUUAUAUAUGUAUCAACUGGUCUUCGUUCACAAAGCGUCCUACACGUAAUCAACAACAAACAGCUGCCUUCCUACUAAUCCCACCAUCUCCGACCCUCUGCUUUGCCAAAUAACUGCAUGCACCAACACAAGCGUAAGAACAACAUAACUAACAACGCUAACACUAAGUAAAACUGAACAACAACAUCAUACACAAAUAACCCCGCGCUUGCGCGGGGCUCGGCCUCUAGUAUUUUUAAAUUAAGCAGCAACCAUUAACCUUUUUUCUUUCUUUUUUAGCAACCAUUAUCUUCGUUUCCAUCAAAUUAAUAUAAUUGGAUGAAGUCUACAAUAUGUGAUGAUCAAUGUGAAAACCUCGAAGAAGAAGAAGAAGAGAUACAUUACUGGAGCAUUCUUUAACAAAGUUAUUUAUUUAGGCAACGGACACGGACGAGUCAACAACGACUUGGUUUGGCUGCACGCUUUUGUAAGGACAUCUCUUUGCCACAACAACAAAGACACAUAUAUUAGCAGCGGUUACACCGGCUAGAAACCAGUAGAACCGGUCCAACCGGCUACUGUUCAGGUCCUUCCCGAACCAACUCUUGGCCGAGAAAUCAUCAGCUAGCGUAUCAACCGCUGUGAUCAGUAGAUUAUUAAGGAAGUUAGCUGCUCCCAACACGCUUAGGUAAAUCGCUAUACCUAAGCUUCUCAUGGAAUCAGGGACUUGGUCGUAGAAGUACUCUUGAAGUCCAACGAGUGUGAACGCGUCCGCAACGCCAAUGACUAUGAACUGAGGAGCUAGCCAUAUCACACUCAUUGGUUC
rnacentral:lncRNA from 1 species